UGGCGGACGGGUGAGUAACGCGUGGGUAACCUGCCCUGUACAGGGGGAUAACAGCUGGAAACGGCUGCUAAUACCGCAUAAGCGCACGAGGAGGCAUCUCCUUGUGUGAAAAACUCCGGUGGUACAGGAUGGGCCCGCGUCUGAUUAGCUGGUUGGCAGGGUAACGGCCUACCAAGGCAACGAUCAGUAGCCGGUCUGAGAGGAUGAACGGCCACAUUGGAACUGAGACACGGUCCAAACUCCUACGGGAGGCAGCAUG
rnacentral:rRNA from 1 species